rnacentral:rRNA from 1 species
CCUACGGGAGGCUGCAGUGAGGAAUAUUGGUCAAUGGACGAGAGUCUGAACCAGCCAAGUAGCGUGAAGGAUGACUGCCCUAUGGGUUGUAAACUUCUUUUAUAAAGGAAUAAAACGAGGCACGUGUGCCUUUUUGCAUUGACUUUAUUCAUAAGGAUCGGCUCACUCCGUUCCAGCAGCCGAGGUAAUACGGAGGAUCCGAGCGUUACCCGGAUUUGUUGGGUUUAAAGGGAGCGUAGAUGGGUUGUUAAGUCAGUUGUGAAAGUUUGCGGCUCAACCGUAAAAUUGCAAUUGAUACUGGCAGUCUUGAGUACAGUUGAGGUAGGCGGAAUUCGUGGUGUAGCGGUGAAAUGCUUAGAUAUCACGAAGAACCCCGAUUGCGAAGGCAGCUUACUAAACUGUGACUGACAUUGAUGCUCGAAAGUGUGGGUAUCAAACAGGAUUAGAUACCCCUGUAGUC